rnacentral:rRNA from 1 species
GAUGAACGCUGGCGGCGUGCCUAAUACAUGCAAGUCGAGCGAACAGACGAGGAGCUUGCUCCUCUGACGUUAGCGGCGGACGGGUGAGUAACACGUGGAUAACCUACCUAUAAGACUGGGAUAAUUUCGGGAAACCGGAGCUAAUACCGGAUAAUAUGUUGAAUCGCAUGGUUCAACAGUGAAAGACGGUCUUUCUGUCACUUAUAGAUGGAUCCGCGCCGCAUUAGCUAGUUGGUAAGGUAACGGCUUACCAAGGCAACGAUGCGUAGCCGACCUGAGAGGGUGAUCGGCCACACUGGAACUGAGACACGGUCCAGACUCCUACGGGAGGCAGCAGUAGGGAAUCUUCCGCGAAGGGCGAAAGCCUGACGGAGCAACGCCGCGUGAGUGAAGAAGGUCUUCGGAUCGUAAAACUCUGUUAUUAGGGAAGAACAAAUGUGUAAGUAACUAUGCACGUCUUGACGGUACCUAAUCAGAAAGCCACGGCUAACUACGUG